CCUACGGGAGGCAGCAGUGAGGAAUAUUGGUCAAUGGACGCAAGUCUGAACCAGCCAUGCCGCGUGAAGGAUGAAGGCCUUUGGGUUGUAAACUUCUUUUAUGAGGGAAGCGGUACCUUAGGAAUAAGCACCGGCUAACUCCGUGCCAGCAGCCGCGGUAAUACGGAGGGUGCAAGCGUUAUCCGGAUUUACUGGGUUUAAAGGGUGUGUAGGCGGGCUAUUAAGUCAGCGGUGAAAUCUCCGGGCUCAACCCGGAAACUGCCAUUGAUACUAUUAGUCUUGAAUUUUGUUGAGGUGGGCGGAAUAAGUCAUGUAGCGGUGAAAUGCAUAGAUAUGACUUAGAACACCAAUUGCGAAGGCAGCUCACUAAACAAAAUUGACGCUGAGGCACGAAAGCGUGGGGAUCAAACAGGAUUAGAUACCCUUGUAGUC
rnacentral:rRNA from 1 species